AGGGGUUUAGGUUACAUAGACCAAGAGCCUUCAAAGCUCUAAGCAAGUAAACUCUACUUAACCCCUGC
rnacentral:tRNA from 3 species